ensembl:lncRNA
AUGGGGAAUUCACAGGAUUUAUCCAACCUGGAAAUCCAGCCUGGAAAUUCUGAUGGCGAAUUCAUGGGAAUUGUCCAGCUGGGAAUUUGGGAUGUGGAAUUCCCUGGGAAUUACCCACGCUGGGAUUUUGGGAUGGGGAAUUCAUGGGAAUUGUCCAGCUGGGAUUUUGGGAUGUGGGAUCCUCCCGAGAGCAGCUCCAUGGCCGGGGCGGGGCAGAACCGGGAAAUGAUCCCAAAAAAAAAACCCGGGAGUGACUUUUCCAGGGGUUUUCCAGGUGGGUCAGGGGGGGUUGACGGCUCCUGGCUUGGGAAAAAAUUCCCAAAAUGCUCAGCAAGGUUGGAUCAGCCUGGAAAAAUUUGGGAUGGAGAGCUUGGAAUGGGGUCAGGCCACAGGGGUCGGAUCCGGCCUGUGGAUCCCGGAUCCAGGGAAAACUGGGAAUUCUCAGGCCGGGAUGGGAUCACAGGGGGUGGAUCCCACCCAUGGACCCUGGAUCCAGGAAAAACUGGGAAUGGGAUCCCAUUGGGAAUGGGGCCCCGGGGGCUGGAUCCCACCAGUGGAUCCCGGAACUCCUCAGGACGUUGGGAGUGUGGAAUUCUCUGGGAUGUUGGGAGUGUGGAAUUCCCCAGGAUGUUGGAAUGUGGAAUUCUCUGGGAUGUGGGGAACGUGGGAAUCCCUGGGAUUUUGGGAACAGGAUCCAAGGGCUGGGAUCCCAAAAUUCCCCAGGACAUUGGGAAUGUGGAAUUCCCCAGGAUGUUGGAAUGUGGAAUUCUCUGGGAUAUUUGGAACAGGAUUCCAGGGCUGGGAUCCUGGAACUCCCUGGAUUUUGGGAGGGGGAAUUGCCAGGAUUUUGGGAAUGUGGAAUUUCCUGGGAUGUUGGGAUGUGGAAUUCCCGGGAUUGUUGGGAAUGCAGAGUUCCCCAGGAUGCUGGAAUAUGGAAUCCUUUGGGAUUUUGGGACAGGGGAAUUCCCAGGAUUUUGGGAAUGUGGAAACUCCCUGGGAUGUUGGGGUGUGGAAUUCCUGGGACUGUUGGGAAUGUGGAGUUCCCCAGGAUUUUGGGAAUGUGGAAUUCCCUGGGAUGUUGGGAACAGGGUCCCAGGGCUGGGAUCCUGGAAUUCCAUGGGAUGUGGAAUUCCUGGGAUUGUUGGGAAUGCAGAGUUCCCCAGGAUGUUGGGACGGGGGAAUUCCCAGGAUUUUGGGAAUGUGGAGCUCCCGGGAUUUGGGAAUGUGCAAUUCCCAGGAUUUUGGGAAUCUGGAACUCCCGGGAUUUUGGGAACGUGGAACUCCCGGGAUUUUGGGUUCCCAUCCCUGCCCAGCCCGCGCGCUCCCCCAGGGCAGCCCGGCCAUGCAGAUGAAUGCAAAUGUAUGCAAAUGUAUGCAAAUGAGGGCGGGGACCGCCCGGACCGGUCUGGGCGGGAUCCGGGCGGAGCCGGGAAUGGGAAACAUCCGGGAGGGACCGGGAGGGGCCCGAGCCGCGCCCCGGCUGGCCCGGGACCACCCGGGACUGACCCGGGAUUCACCGGGAGUGACCCGGGACCACCCGGGAUUGAACCGGGACCACCCGGAACCACCCGGGAUUGA